rnacentral:rRNA from 1 species
CCUACGGGUGGCAGCAGUGAGGAAUAUUGGUCAAUGGACGGGAGCCUGAACCAGCCAAGUCGCGUGAAGGAAGAAGGUACUUUGUAUUGUAAACUGCUUUUGUCGGGGGGCAAACGCGGAUACGCGUAUCCGUCUGAGUGUACCCUACGAAAAAGCAUCGGCUAACUCCGUGCCAGCAGCCGCGGUAAUACGGAGGAUUCGAGCGUUAUCCGGAUUUAUUGGGUUUAAAGGGUGCGCAGGCGGGAGAUCAAGUCAGCGGUAAAAUGUCGGGGCUCAACCCCGGACGGCCGUUGAAACUGGUGGGCGAGAGUGGGAGAGAAGUAGGCGGAAUUCGUGGUGUAGCGGUGAAAUGCAUAGAUAUCACGAAGAACUCCGAUUGCGAAGGCAGCAUACCGGCUCCAUACUGACGCUGAGGCACGAAAGCGUGGGGAUCGAACAGGAUUAGAUACCCUUGUAGUC